UACUUUUGCUCUCGCUUUGGUUUUAGUUCACGAUUUCUCGUGAGCUGAAUUAAAAGGGAAACAGGUGUAAUUCCUGUACAGUCCCGCUGCUGUAAGCUCUUUAAACGUUUUGAACAACACUUUUGCCACUGAAAUUCUCAGUAAGCAGUGAACAGUGAACAGUAAACAGUCCCAUAUAGACUGAUAACUGAUAACUGAUAACUGAUAACUGAAAUCGGGAAGGCGUUCAAAACGGGAGUAAGUCAGAAGACCUGCCAGACAACAAUCAAUUUU
rnacentral:ncRNA from 2 species